CCUUAACGAGUAACAAUUGGAGGGCAAGUCUGGUGCCAGCAGCCGCGGUAAUUCCAGCUCCAAUAGCGUAUAUUAAAGUUGUUGCAGUUAAAAAGCUCGUAGUUGGAUCUAGGGACGCGCAUUUCAAGCGCCCGUGUCGUCGGGUCAAACCGGCGACUGCGUUGGCGUUGCGGGCUCGGUCCGUCGGUGCCACUAAAAGCACUGGCGUGUCAACCGGCCCGCCCGUCCCCUCCUUCUGGAUUCCCGUUCCUGCUAUUGAGUUAGUGGGGACGUCACAGGGGGCUCAUCGUCGUCAUGCAAAUGGCGGCGGUGGGUCCCUGGGGCCCAGAUCGUUUACCGUGAAAAAAUUAGAGUGUUCAAAGCAGGCAGAUCCAAUUCUCUGCCACCGAAUACAUUAGCAUGGGAUAAUGGAAUAGGACCCUGUCCUCCUAUUUUCAGUUGGUUUUGGCAGCGCGAGGACUAGGGUAAUGAUUAAUAGGGAUAGUUGGGGGCAUUAAUAUUUAAUUGUCAGAGGUGAAAUUCUUGGAUUUAUGAAAGAUUAACUUCUGCGAAA
rnacentral:rRNA from 1 species